GAUGAACGCUGACAGAAUGCUUAACACAUGCAAGUCAUUGGCGAAGCUGCGCUUGCGCAGUCUAGCCAAGGCGGACGGGUGAGUAACGCGUAAGGAACUUGCCCUGCAGACAGGGAUAACAGACGGAAACGACUGAUAACACCUGGUAUUGUCAGGCUGGCGCAUGCCGGCCUGAUGAAAGGAGACGCUGCAGGAGAGCCUUGCGUCCUAUUAGCUAGUUGGUGGGGUAACGGCCCACCAAGGCGAUGAUAGGUAGCCGGCCUGAGAGGGUGAACGGCCACAAGGGGACUGAGAUACGGCCCUUACUCCUACGGGAGGCAGCAGUGGGGAAUAGUGGAAAAUGGGGGCAACCCUGAUCCAGCAAUUCUGUGUGCACGAAGAAGGUUUUCGGAGUGUAAAGUGCUUUCAGCAGGGAAGAAGAAAGUGACGGUACCUGCAGAAGAAGCGACGGCUAAAUACGUG
rnacentral:rRNA from 1 species